CGGGGUGCACCAGGCGCGAAAACUUUACAAUGCCGGCAACGGCGAUAAGGGAACCUCGAGUGCCAGGUUACAAAUCUGGCUGUCGUGAUGCCUAAAAAGCAUUGCAUAGCAAGGGCCGGGCAAGACCGGUGCCAGCCGCCGCGGUAACACCGGCGGCUCGAGUGGUAACCGUUAUUAUUGGGUCUAAAGGGUCUGUAGCCGGCCGGGUAAGUCUCUUGGGAAAUCUGGCAGCUUAACUGUCAGGCUUUCAGGAGAUACUGCCUGGCUCGAGGCCGGGAGAGGUGAGAGGUACUUCAGGGGUAGGGGUGAAAUCUUGUAAUCCUUGAAGGACCACCAGUGGCGAAGGCGUCUCACCAGAACGGACCUGACGGCAAGGGACGAAAGCUAGGGGCACGAACCGGAUUAGAUACCCGGGUAGUCCUAGCCGUAAACGAUACUCGCUAGGUGUCGGCCACGGUGCGACCGUGGUCGGUGCCGUAGGGAAGCCGUGAAGCGAGCCACCUGGGAAGUACGGCCGCAAGGCUGAAACUUAAAGGAAUUGGC
rnacentral:rRNA from 1 species